rnacentral:sRNA from 1 species
AAUGGUUCCAAGGCGCCACUCCUAGAUGAGGAACUAUUGACAGUUCAGGAUGUGAGAUAUCAACCUCCAGCCUCUUGCAGCCAUAUCUGCUACUUACUGUUAUUGCUCCUGCCCUGAUAGAGGUUCCCUCUGGAAUCAUGAGAUCAAAUGAACUCUUUAUUCUGGUCAACUUAGAGAAGCUUUACCAAGGGCUGAGAUUUCUAGUGAUAACUGUGGCUACUUCAGUGAAGGAAGCUGACACUAUCCUGAGUGGACUCACAUAAGGGAGAAAGAAUGGUCAACUCUCUAGCAAUGAGCAGCAGCAUCUUAUAGGAUGCUAAUAGCAUCAUCCACAAGGUAAACCAGAGACUGGAGAGAUGUGCAUGGACUGGCUAAUACAUGACAUCAACAUAGGAAUACUGUUACACUAGAAGGGAAGCAAGUGAUUGGGACUACUGGAGUUACUUCACAAAGCAAGGGACAAAGUUAAAAGGCUUCGAUUUACCACAGUGACUGUGGACUUCACCAAAGUAUGAUGUAAAUUAUUAAGCCUCCAAAUAUCCAUAGUAACUGCACUUGGAAGCUAUGGGAGUGAAUAUGUACAUCAAACCAUUUCAGCUCCUG